rnacentral:rRNA from 1 species
UGAAUACGAGACACUAAGGUGUUGAAGUAGUGUAUGUCAUACUUCCAAGAAAAGCUUGCACUGUCAUAAAUAAAAAGUGCCUGUACCAUAACCGACACAGGUGGGUAGGUAGAGUAUACUAAGGGGCGCGAGAUAACUCUCUCUAAGGAACUCGGCAAAAUAACUCCGUAACUUCGGGAGAAGGAGUGCCUUAUUUAUAAGGUUGCAAUAACAAGAUCCAAGCAGCUGUUUAUCAAAAACACAGGUCUCCGCUAAGUCGUAAGACGAUGUAUGGGGGCUGACGCCUGCCCAGUGCCAGAAGGUUAAAGAAGUUGGUUAGCAAUAGCGAAGCUGGUAACUGAAGCCCUGGUGAACGGCGGCCGUAACGAUAACGGUCCUAAGGUAGCGAAAUUCCUUGUCGGGUAAGUUCCGACCCGCACGAAAGGCGUAAUGAUUUGGAUACUGUCUCGGAGAGGGGCUCGGUGAAAUAGACUUGUCUGUGAAGAUGCGGACUACCUGCACCAGGACAGAAAGACCCUAUGAAGCUUUACUGUAACUUGAAAUUGAAAUUGGACUUUAUUCGCGCAGCAUGGGUGGGAGGCGUUGAUUAUAAUCUCGUGGGAUUAUUGGAGCCAUCAGUGAGAUACCACUCUUGUAAUGUUAGAUUUCUAACUUUGAAUCAUUAUCUGGUCAAAGGACAGUUUCAGGCGGGCAGUUUGACUGGGGCGGUCGCCUCCUAAACGGUAACGGAGGCGUACAAAGGUUUCCUCUGAACGGUUAGAAAUCGUAUCUAGAGUGUAAAGGCAUAAGGAAGCUUGACUGUGAGACCUACAAGUCGAGCAGGGACGAAAGUCGGUCUUAGUGAUCUGACGGUACUGAGUGGAAAGGCCGUCACUCAACGGAUAAAAGUUACUCUAAGGAUAACAGGCUGAUCUCCCCCAAGAGUUCACAUCGACGGGGAGGUUUGGCACCUCGAUGUCGGCUCAUCGCAUCCUGGGGCGGUAGUACGUCCCAAGGGUUGGGCUGUUCGCCCAUGAAAGCGGUACGCGAGCUGGGUUCAGAACGUCGUGAGACAGUUCGGUCCAUAUCCGGUGUAGGCGUUAGAAUAUUGAGAGGAGCCUUCUUUAGUACGAGAGGACCGAGAAGGACAUACCUCUGGUGUACCAGUUAUCGUGCCAACGGUAAACGCUGGGUAGCUAUGUAUGGAGUGGAUAACCGCUGAAAGCAUCUAAGUGGGAAGCCCACCUCAAGAUAAGUAUUCU